GACAGAAAGGCGUUUUCCCCGCCCCCCCUCCAUCGGCUCGCUUCCCUAAAAUCUACAAGGACGACUUCAAUGUUCGAAACCCUGAGUUCUCAGAGGCUCCAGACUUUGCAGAUCAGACCGGUGUGUUCGAGUACUUCAUGAACCUGACCGAUCCUGGACCUCACGUCUUCACCUUACGGCAGGUUCUGACCCAGAGACCCGUUACCUGGGCAACAGAUGCUGACCAGACCGUCAGUGUCAUCGGAGACUACCAGUGGCAGAACCUGACGUGUCCUGCGACGUCUUCAUGGAGA